GCUGGGAUUACAGACUUGAGCCACCGCGCCCAGCCAGUGCUUGGGUUUUAAGCUACCAUUUUUCCAAAACCCCCUCUUCCACUGAUUUUAGAAAGCAUAUACAUGGCUUUAACCUCAGGGAAAAUAUCAAAAUAAACCAAACCAGUUGGGGACCAUUUUCUUUCUCUCAGAGGUAUCUUGUUAUGAUGCUAUUGUCCCAGGCCUAUUUUUCACAGAAGCAAAGUAGAUGAUGGCAUGGCAGUUAAUUUUUACCUUCCAGUAUGUUUCUAUAUAUAUAUGUCUAUGUAUUGAAUUUUUUAUUUGCCUUCCAGCCCUACUAGGCCUGCCAUCUAGAGAAAGAAAGCUCCAACCACCUCAGCCUGGAGUAACUAUGGGAAAUACAACUUUGUUUCCCCUCAUGCUUUGUAAACCACCUCUUCCAGUUUGUGUUGUGUUGUGUUAGGCCAUUCCUGCAUUGCUAUAAAGCAAUACCUGAGACUGGGUAAUUUAUAAAGAAAAGAGGUUUAAUUGGCUUAUGGUUCUGCAAGCUUUACAGGAGGCAUGGUGCUUGCAUCUGCUUGGCUUCUAGAGAGGCCUCAGGAAGCUUACAAUCAUGGUGAAAGGUGCAUCUCACAGGCUGAAAGCAGGAUCAAGAAAGAUAUGGUUGUGGGGAGGUGCCACUAUUAAAUAACCAGGUCUUCUGAGAACUCAUUAUCAUGAAGACCGCACCAAGUCACCCAGGAUCCAAACACCUCCCGCCAGCACUGGGGAUUACAAUUCAACGUGAGAUUUGGGUGGGGAGAAAUAUCCAGACUAUUAAUAUAUCACCAGCAUUCCAGAUUUGUUUCCUCAAAGUCAUCUCUGACUGUCAAACAGCUUAAGUCAUUGUGUAGGUAACCUCUUUUAGAAGGGGAUAACCCUGCCUUGCAGAAUUAUUUGCUCAAGCCACCUGGCAAUAAUUCAGUGUUUCAGGAAACUCACUGGGGCUGUUUGCUGGAUCAGAAAUCAGCAUUAUGUCAAAGGGUAUUCCAAAGGCAGUGGGAGAAAUGGAUGGAGUUCUGAGAGGGUCUGCUGCAUGAGCACUCUGGGGACCCAUGUCCAGGUGGACAAUACUCUUCAUGUUGUUACACAGACAAGUAUAGAUACUUUAUUAAGAUAGGUUUCUAAGAGUAAAACCUUCAAAGGACUAUGUGGAAAGAUUUGGGCGGUUUUAUGUUAUCUUUUGAAUAGAUCCAAAAACAAUGUAGUUAGGACAAAUGGCUGUCAAUGAUUUCCAAAUUAUUUUCACUAAUGCAUUACCAUUACUACAAAAGUGUAUAUCAAGUCUCUGAAGGAAGUUAGAGUGAGGCAAAAGGAAGAAAUAUCAACCAGUGAAGCCCAGUGAAGUGGGCAAUCUCCUGCUCCUUUCUAAAUGCCAAAAACCUACACAAUUAAUAGUUUUUGUGCAGAGCAACUCCAAUAAACAUGAAAGGAAAACUUCUCUUACCCACACCAAGCACAUGUUUUCCAAGUUGUGAUGAGAACUGGUACAGCAGACUUCUCAAGAUAAGAAUGUUUUGAAGGACAAAUACAAGCUUAUACAUCAAAACUACUUAAUCUGAGAAAGAACUUGCUGGCAUCCAAACCUUAGGAACUCAGUCCUGCAUUGUCACUGCCUUUGACAAGGCUUACUGCACUACAUGCUGUAAAGGCCUAUGGGAUGUGGUUAUUAGGAUUUCAUCUGCAGGCUACCCAGGAUGUCAUAUACCAUUGAUACUCCAGUGACAAUUAACCAAUUUAUUAAUGUGAUGUUCCCCUUUACAAUUAACCAACCUAGCAGAUAGGUUGUCCAUCAGGGUUUUUUCUUUUUAUUUUCUUUUUUUUUU
rnacentral:lncRNA from 1 species